rnacentral:snRNA from 1 species
GGAUGUGAAGGCAAUCUGCCUGCGAUAUCUGUUACCCCAUUGAUCACCACGGUUAUUCAGCUUAUCUGGCUGGCUAGGUGGGUUCCCCUUCCUCUCUCAAUGCUCCAAGUGCAUCCCUCCCAAAGCUGCACGCUUGGUGGAAGAGAACGACCACCCAGGAUAGAGGAGGACCAUUCCUCAGUCAAGGGUAUAUGAGUAGCUGAGCUCCCCUGCUAGAACCUCCAAACAAGCUCUUCAGGUCCAAUUAGCUUGUCCAAUGAUCUCAUGGAAUUUGGGGGGUUAGCUUGUCCACUGAUCUCACAGAAUUUGGGGUGAAGCCACUCUCCCAUUUGC